AGGGGGGUGUUGGGAUUCAUUGCCAAGUUCCAAUCUAAUUAGGAUGCCAUUUUUAGUUGGUUAUUAGUUUUAAUAACUUUAAAAUUAUAUUCUUAGUAUAACUCUAUUUUAAUUAUUUUCUUCUAAAGGUUGUUAGAGUUUGUAUUUGAGUGGAUUUUAGAUUUUUAAGUUAAGAUAGGAGUCAAGCUCCCACUCAUAUGAUGCUUUAUUU
rnacentral:lncRNA from 1 species